rnacentral:rRNA from 1 species
AACGAACGCUGGCGGCAUGCCUAACACAUGCGAGUCGAACGAGACCUUCGUGUCUAGUUGCGCACGGGGGCGUAACGCGUGGGAACCUUCCCUUAGGUUCGGGAUUACUCCCCGAAAGGGGUGCUAAUGUCGGAUAACGUCUGCUGACCCAAGAUUUAUCGUGUUUGGAGGGGCCCGCGUUGGUUUAGCUAGGUGGGAGGGGAAAAGCCGACGAAGGCGACGAUCGAUAGCUGGUCUGAGAGGAUGAUCAGCCACACUGGGAGUGAGACGCGGCCGAGACUCCUACGGGAGGGAGCAGUGGGGAAUAUUGGAAAAGGGGGGGAGGGCUGAUGCAGCAAGGCCGGGUGAGUGAUGAAGGCGGUAGGGUUGUAAAGCUCUUUUAGCCGGGAUGAUAAUGACGGUACCGGGAGAAUAAGCGCCGGCUAACUCCGUG